GACGAACGCUGGCGGCGUGCUUAACACAUGCAAGUCGAGCGGAGCGGCGAACGGGUGAGUAACGCGUGAGUAACUGCCCCCCUCUCUGGGAUAACAGUUGGAAACGGCUGCUAAUACCGGAUAGUGGGGGAUGACUCGCGUCCUAUCAGCUUGUUGGGUGGGUAGGGGCCUACCAAGGCGACGACGGGUAGCCGGCCUGAGAGGGGGACCGGCCACAUUGGGCUGAGCGACGGCCCAAACUCCUACGGGAGGCAGCGGUGGGGAGUAUUACACAACGGGGUAGGCCCUGAUGCGGCAACGCCGCGUGCGGGAUGCCGGGCUGCGGGUUGUAAACCGCUGUCAGGCAUGAUGCGGUAGUGGCAGAAGAAGCACCGGCUAACUACGUGCCAGCAGCCGCGGUAAUAC
rnacentral:rRNA from 1 species